AGCGUCCCCACCCCCUCCUUCCCGAUGCCCCCACCCCUCGACGAUUACCAUCUCGCUCCGCCCCGCCGCCCUCCCCUUCCUCUCCGUCUCCUGUGCAGCCCCGACGCCCUCCCCCUCCUCUCCAUCUCCUGCGCAGCCCCGACUCCCCCCUCCCCUCACGACGGCCGCUGCCCUCCCCUCCAAUCGGCGCUGCGCGGAUAGACGGAAGCCUAGAUACGUGCGGAGCGUCGCCUGGCCCGCCUCGCGUCGGUGCCGCUCGGAUCGACGGCCGCCGCGCGCGGAUCGACACCCUGCCGCUUCGCAUUAUCCUCACCCUCGCUUGGCUCCCCGUCCAGCAUCCUUCUCCUCAUUCGCCACCGUCCUAAUGGAAGGCUCGUGGAGGUUGUAUCCAUGGAUGUGGCAGUCGGAUGCCCUGCCAUCACCGAAGCCCCAUUCCCCGCACCCAUUGUCCAGACUCUAGCCGCCGACGCCGUGGGGAGCAGGACAGAUGCACGGAGGUGCCGAUCGGAUGCGCUGCCAUCUCCAUCCACAAUCCUCUUACCCAGAUCUACCUAUUAUACAGCAUGGAGACGCUUCUAAGAACAGAGAAGAGAGAUCGAGCAGAGUCUGAGAGGAAAACAAUCUGAUUGUUUUGGCUUUUAUCGACGAGGGCAGGCUCUGAUUUGUGAAGACCACUGGGGCCUCUACGACUACAUUGCAGGUGCCUACUUUAGUUUGCGCUGACGUCGGCCAAAUUGCAUCUGCCCAGAGGAUGCUGCUCCCGUACGGCGGCAUCGCGUAAAGCUGCCGGACACAUGUAAAAUUUGUUCAAUAAACUAAUGAUCUGUUCUAUGUAAUGUUUUUUCAUACAGAGUUGAUAUUACCUUUGCCAAUCAUAAAUUUAGAAUAUGAUUCAUUCAGAAGCAACUAUCAAAUAAGUACAGGCUAGCAUGUACAUUUUUAGUGCAAUGUUGAGAGACAAUACAUGUGUUUAGGUUCAGGAUAAAAUUUUGUUGAAUCCUAGCAUACUAAACGUAACUAUAUGAAGCUUGAGAUGCACCUUAGAUCUUAGACCAUAAGUGGAUCAGGAAAGAGAUACUUCAGUUAUUAUCAUUAAAUAUGGGUGAAUGUGCAUAUGCUGUCCGCAAAAAUAUUUAGCUAGAUACACAUUUAGGACCAGACAAAUUUGUUCAUCUACCAUCUAUCAAGGAUGUCAUUGCCUACAUGAGCAUCUGCGCUCCUUUUAUUGUCAUGCUAAAUUGUGCGGUUACCAUCUGACUUGAAUCUAAUACUGUCAUUCUCUUAUUACUGGUCACUAAAAGCCACUAUACUGAACAAUGAGUUAGCUAUAGUGGCCUCAGAAAUUGUUAAUUUGGACUUGAAGUCUGAAUCGCCACACUACAAAAUAGGUGGGUGUACAUAGAUUUCACUUACAAUUAUGUGGCUUGAAGCUUUGGAGAUGCUGCUUGACAAGCUAGAACAAAACAUGUGGCUGUCUGCCCAUCUCAGGGAGCCGGCAGCAACAUGGCAGUAUCUACUGGAAGAUGGGAAGCCAGAUUUAUUAUAUCCAACCUGCAGCAAUUUUGUUUCUCUGUCCAUAUUGAUUACUUGAGUAAGAGCCGGUGCUGCAUUCUCAUCUCUCUUUGUUCCUGAAUUGGUCAUUACUGUCAAUUUCCCCGAUCUUUGUUUGAUUAUGAUUGUACUAACAAGAUAUGCAUGGGCUCUAUGAUUUCUCUACAUUCCCUUCAUCCAGAUGGUCAAACUGCAUUUCACUCUAUUAAAAGGCCCUGAGAAAGAGGGUACUUUCUGUUUACCGAUGAAUCUCAAGGGAUAGUAAUAAUGUUUGCCUCUUAAGAUCUGGAUAGCGUCAUGUGUAUCCCGUUUGAAUGCUAUUUGUCUUCCAUGCCACUUAUAGAGGGAGAAACCACAUGCAACGAGAGAAUAAUAGAUCCUGAUGAAAAACUAAUUAGUUGGGCAAAAAUGACAUGUACGAAAGCAAACAAUGCAUAUGUACAAAUGACAUGUCAACUGUCAUGAGAUUUCUGGUACAUAUAUCCUCCUAAACCAAUCAGGAUAUACCAUUUGUAUGAAGUCUAUGAUUUGAUAUAAAUUGCAAAAUCCUAAUGUUUUUAUUUGCUUAUUUCCUGCUCCUCUAUUCAUUAUUCAAGGCUUUAUCUUUCCUUUUUUCUGAUAAAGUAUCUCCUUUAAGGACAGUAAUCCUGCAGUAAUGUUUUCCAAUUUUUUUUCUAUGAAGCAAUUUUUGCUGUUAAUAACCUUCUCUCUGCAGGUGGUCAAAAGAAUUAUGGCUAGCUAGGUACAAACACAACAAUUAAAGUAAUGUUGUGAAGAGCUGAGUGAUAUGAGGAUUAAGCAUUGCAGCCUCAGCCACGUGACCUCUCUUUGGAACUGAACGAUUGACCAUCAAAAGCUUAUAUUGUUUAAGGUUAUUUUGAGGAAUUGAGUGAUAAUUAGAGGGAGCAAGCUAAAGAGUUGAUGGAGUACCAGGUAUUAUUUUUGUUUCCUCAUAAUUGUGAUGAUCAUUUGCCAAUACCACUCUACCAUAAUAGAUAUCGAGUUACUGAUGUUGUUUGUGUUUUGUGUCAUUAGAACGAACUGGAGGAGUUUAAAAGUUUUUAAUAUGAGAUUUAUAGGUUAUUUUUUAUGACAUGUUGCUACUUAUCAUGUGGAGAUGCGAUGGAGAAUUGGUUUUCGAAGGAAGAUAUGGGUUCAGAGUUAUGAAGGUUGUUGUCUGAAUUUGACUUACAUAAUGAAAAAUUAAAAUAUCAGUGUUAGAGAUUUUGUAUAUUUAUCUCAUCAGGAAACUUGGACUUGCCAAAUGAUCUAACAUGGAUUUCACUGAAAAAUGCAAAUCUCGUAUGACAUUGCGUGCU